CGGGUGAGUAAUGCAUCGGAACGUGUCCAUGUCGUGGGGGAUAGCCCGGCGAAAGCCGGAUUAAUACCGCAUACGCCCGAGAGGGGAAAGUGGGGGACCGCAAGGCCUCACGCGAUUGGUUCGGCCGAUGUCCGAUUAGCUAGUUGGCGGGGUAAAGGCCCACCAAGGCGAUGAUCGGUAGCUGGUCUGAGAGGAUGAUCAGCCACACUGGGACUGAGACACGGCCCAG
rnacentral:rRNA from 1 species